UACAGAGGGUGCAAGCGUUAAUCGGAUUUACUGGCGUAAAGCGUGCGUAGGCGGUUCAUUAAGUCGGUUGUGAAAUCCCUGGGCUUAACCUGGGAACUGCAGUCGAUACUGGUGAACUAGAAUGCGGUAGAGGGUGGCGGAACUCCGGGUGUAGCGGUGAAAUGCGUAGAUAUCCGGAAGAACACCGAUGGCGAAGGCAACCACCUGGGCCUGCAUUGACGCUGAGGUACGAAAGCGUGGGGAGCAAACAGG
rnacentral:rRNA from 1 species